UGGCGGCGUGCCUAAUACAUGCAAGUCGAGCGGACCGACGGGAGCUUGCUCCCUUAGGUCAGCGGCGGACGGGUGAGUAACACGUGGGUAACCUGCCUGUAAGACUGGGAUAACUCCGGGAAACCGGGGCUAAUACCGGAUGCUUGAUUGAACCGCAUGGUUCAAUCAUAAAAGGUGGCUUUUAGCUACCACUUACAGAUGGACCCGCGGCGCAUUAGCUAGUUGGUGAGGUAACGGCUCACCAAGGCGACGAUGCGUAGCCGACCUGAGAGGGUGAUCGGCCACACUGGGACUGAGACACGGCCCAGACUCCUACGGGAGGCAGCAGUAGGGAAUCUUCCGCAAUGGACGAAAGUCUGACGGAGCAACGCCGCGUGAGUGAUGAAGGUUUUCGGAUCGUAAAACUCUGUUGUUAGGGAAGAACAAGUACCGUUCGAAUAGGGCGGCACCUUGACGGUACCUAACCAGAAAGCCACGGCUAACUACGUGCCAGCAGCCGCGGUAAUACGUAGGUGGCAAGCGUUGUCCGGAAUUAUUGGGCGUAAAGCGCGCGCAGGCGGUUUCUUAAGUCUGAUGUGA
rnacentral:rRNA from 1 species